rnacentral:misc_RNA from 1 species
CGCACAUUGCGCCCAUUAGUAUUCUAUUGGGCAUGCCUGUUCGAGCGUCAUUUCAACCCUUAAGCUUAGCUUAGUGCUGGGAAUCUACUGUAUAUAGGUGAAUCCUACUCUGUAGCAAUUUAACCUACAGUAGUUCCUGAAAAUCAACGGCGGAACAGUAGUAUCCUCUGAGCGUAGUAAUUUUUAUCUCGCUUUGGUUAGGUGCUGCUGCUUUAGCCGCUAAACCCCUUAUUUUAAAUGGUUGACCUCGGAUCAGGUAGGAAUACCCGCUGAACUUAA